AGCCAGUGUGGUGUAGUGGUUAGAGUGUUGGACUAGGAUCCGGGAGACCAGGGUUCAAAUCCCUGCUUGGCCA